rnacentral:rRNA from 1 species
UACGUAGGGGGCAAGCGUUGUCCGGAUUUAUUGGGCGUAAAGAGCGUGUAGGCGGCCAAGCAGGUCAGCUGUGAAAACUCGAGGCUCAACCUCGAGACGUCGGUUGAAACCGCUUGGCUAGAGUCCGGAAGAGGAGAGUGGAAUUCCCGGUGUAGCGGUGAAAUGCGCAGAUAUCGGGAGGAACACCCGUGGCGAAGGCGGCUCUCUGGGCAUGUCCUGACGCUGAGGAGCGAAAGUGUGGGGAGCGAACAGG